UACGGAGGGUGCAAGCGUUAAUCGGAAUUACUGGGCGUAAAGGGUGCGUAGGUGGUUUGUUAAGUUAUCUGUGAAAUCCCUGGGCUCAACCUGGGCAGGUCAGAUAAUACUGAUAGACUCGAGUAUAGGAGAGGGUAGUGGAAUUUCCGGUGUAGCGGUGAAAUGCGUAGAGAUCGGAAGGAACACCAGUGGCGAAGGCGGCUACCUGGCCUAAUACUGACACUGAGGCACGAAAGCGUGGGGAGCAAACAGG
rnacentral:rRNA from 1 species